CUGAGGCGUGAUGACGAGGCACUACGGUGCUGAAGCAACAAAUGCCCUGCUUCCAGGAAAAGCCUCUAAGCAUCAGGUAACAUCAAAUCGUACCCCAAACCGACACAGGUGGUCAGGUAGAGAAUACCAAGGCGCUUGAGAGAACUCGGGUGAAGGAACUAGGCAAAAUGGUGCCGUAACUUCGGGAGAAGGCACGCUGACACGUAGGUGAAGUGAUUUACUCAUGGAGCUGAAGUCAGUCGAAGAUACCAGCUGGCUGCAACUGUUUAUUAAAAACACAGCACUGUGCAAACACGAAAGUGGACGUAUACGGUGUGACGCCUGCCCGGUGCCGGAAGGUUAAUUGAUGGGGUCAGCGCAAGCGAAGCUCCUGAUCGAAGCCCCGGUAAACGGCGGCCGUAACUAUAACGGUCCUAAGGUAGCGAAAUUCCUUGUCGGGUAAGUUCCGACCUGCACGAAUGGCGUAAUGAUGGCCAGGCUGUCUCCACCCGAGACUCAGUGAAAUUGAACUCGCUGUGAAGAUGCAGUGUACCCGCGGCAAGACGGAAAGACCCCGUGAACCUUUACUAUAGCUUGACACUGAACAUUGAGCCUUGAUGUGUAGGAUAGGUGGGAGGCUUUGAAGCGUGGACGCCAGUCUGCGUGGAGCCGACCUUGAAAUACCACCCUUUAAUGUUUGAUGUUCUAACGUGGACCCGUAAUCCGGGUUGCGGACAGUGUCUGGUGGGUAGUUUGACUGGGGCGGUCUCCUCCUAAAGAGUAACGGAGGAGCACGAAGGUUGGCUAAUCCUGGUCGGACAUCAGGAGGUUAGUGCAAUGGCAUAAGCCAGCUUGACUGCGAGCGUGACGGCGCGAGCAGGUGCGAAAGCAGGUCAUAGUGAUCCGGUGGUUCUGAAUGGAAGGGCCAUCGCUCAACGGAUAAAAGGUACUCCGGGGAUAACAGGCUGAUACCGCCCAAGAGUUCAUAUCGACGGCGGUGUUUGGCACCUCGAUGUCGGCUCAUCACAUCCUGGGGCUGAAGUAGGUCCCAAGGGUAUGGCUGUUCGCCAUUUAAAGUGGUACGCGAGCUGGGUUUAGAACGUCGUGAGACAGUUCGGUCCCUAUCUGCCGUGGGCGCUGGAGAACUGAGGGGGGCUGCUCCUAGUACGAGAGGACCGGAGUGGACGCAUCACUGGUGUUCGGGUUGUCAUGCCAAUGGCACUGCCCGGUAGCUAAAUGCGGAAGAGAUAAGUGCUGAAAGCAUCUAAGCACGAAACUUGCCCCGAGAUGAGUUCUCCCUGAGACUUUAAGUCUCCUGAAGGAACGUUGAAGACGACGACGUUGAUAGGCCGGGUGUGUAAGCGCAGCGAUGCGUUGAGCUAACCGGUACUAAUGAACCGUGAGGCUUAACC
rnacentral:rRNA from 1 species